UUGUCUCUUUGGAUGCAUCAGAUGA
rnacentral:piRNA from 1 species